rnacentral:misc_RNA from 1 species
UACGUAGGGUGCGAGCGUUAAUCGGAAUUACUGGGCGUAAAGAGUGCGUAGGUGGUUUAUCAAGCUGUAUGUGAAAUACCUGGGCUUAACCUGGGGAUUGCGUGCGGGACUGAUAGGCUAGAGUAUGGUAGAGGGGGGUAGAAUUCCACGUGUAGCAGUGAAAUGCGUAGAGAUGUGGAGGAAUACCGAUGGCGAAGGCAGCCCCCUGGACUGGUACUGACACUGAGGCACGAAAGCGUGGGUAGCAAACAGG